CUCAGUAACGGCGAGUGAAGCGGCAACAGCUCAAAUUUGAAAUCUGGCGUCCGCCCGAGUUGUAAUUUGCAGAGGAUGCUUCGGGGCCGCGGCCGAUCUAAGUCCUUUGGAACAGGGCGUCAUAGAGGGUGAGAAUCCCGUAUGUGACCGGCUGGCACCCCACACGUAGCUCCUUCGACGAGUCGAGUUGUUUGGGAAUGCAGCUCUAAAUGGGAGGUAAAUUUCUUCUAAAGCUAAAUACCGGCCAGAGACCGAUAGCGCACAAGUAGAGUGAUCGAAAGAUGAAAAGCACUUUGGAAAGAGAGUCAAACAGCACGUGAAAUUGUUGAAAGGGAAGCGCAUGCAACCAGACUUGUCGGCGGUGUUCCCCCGGUCUUCUGACCGGGUCACUCGCCGCCGGCAGGCCAGCAUCGUUUGCGACCGCCGGAGAAAGGCGCGGGGAAUGUGGCUCCUCGGAGUGUUAUAGCCCCGCGCACAAUACGGUGCGUCGCGAGCGAGGUCCGCGCUUCGGCUAGGAUGCUGGCGUAAUGGUCGUAUGCGGCCCGUCUUGAAACACGGACCAAGGAGUCUACCAUCUAUGCGAGUGUUCGGGUGUCAAACCCCUACGCGCAAUGAAAGUGAACGGAGGUGGGAACGCAAGUGCACCAUCGACCGAUCCUGAUGUCUUCGGAUGGAUUUGAGUAAGAGCAUAGCUGGUGGGACCCGAAAGAUGGUGAUCUUUACUUGAAUAGGGUGAAGCCAGAGGAAACUCUGGUGGAGGCUCGCAGCGGUUCUGACGUGCAAAUCGAUCGUCAAAUUUGGGUAAAGGGGCGAAAGACUAAUCGAACCAUCUAGUANCUGGUUCCUG
rnacentral:rRNA from 1 species